UACUGCUUCAUCUGCUAGAGAUGUACAAAUGUUAAGUUUUGAUAUCUUGUGCAUUCUUUUUUAGAUGGGGGAUUCUUAUUUGAGCCUAUAAUGGGUCUGGCCUCAUUGAUUUUUGAUACUUUCUUUCAAAUUUUCUGUAUUGUGGAAAGCGUUUUGCUGUUACCAUCCCUUGCAUACAUUCUUUUAGAGGCUAACUGGGUAUUUCUCGGUUUGUUGCAAGUGGGAUUUUUGUAAGUUGAUUAAUGAAAGAAGGAGCUAGUGUUAUAUCUCCAGCCCUGUUGUUGAUUAGUUUUUAUUUUGUGUUCUGGUGGCAUCAUAAGGGACUUCAAUAACCCUAUUUGGUUUGUAACCCAAACUGCGAAGCUGUCAUUCUUUGAAUUGUUUCUCUGCAAAAGACAUGUAUAAACUCUUGGCCUUGAAUCCUUGCAACUGGGAGAAGUCUCGACAUUUUCAUUUGUUCAAUUUUUAAGAACUUGCAUCGAGUCUUGAAGUUUCACUUUGCGACUCCUCUUUCUUGUAAUGGUUUUUAUUUUGGAUGGAGGGGGUGGAUUACUAGUGGUGAAGACCCUGGUUGUGCUUCUUAAAUUUUUUUUAAAACCAUAACCCCGACCCACUCCCUCAACUUGUUUCAGACCAGAAAGAGCAGGUGAGCCUUGGUGCAAAUGCCUUCCAGAAGGGGAUGGAAAUAGACGAGUAAAGGCUUGUAACCACGUAUGCUCAUAUUUUUUCCUAUGAAUUUUCUUGUGGGGUUUGAGGCAGGAACAGUAGAUUCAUAAGCCCGGAAGCUCAUCUACUAGCAGGGAAGUGGGUGGAAGGAUAUGAUUCAAGGAAAUAGAUCUGUGUAACCAGUCCAGACUAGGGAGAAAUUGAUAAAAGUUUUAUAGCUACUUGAAGUUGGUCUGUUAUUCUGGAAUGUUUUAAGGGCUAUGAAAUGGGAGAUGGAUGCUCCACAGUGGUGCUUGAAAGACGUGCAAAUGUUGCAGAAGGAUGGUUAAAUAAAUUGCAGUUAAAAUAUUUUACUGGGAACUGUUACACUCGGUCUUUGAUAGUCAUCUCUACUUGAUUUUGUGGAGGUUCUUCCUUGCAUGUUUUGGUCACCGUGUCUGCAGAACUUCGCAAUCAGAGAAGGAGAAAGGAAAGCUGUAGAGAGGCAAGAUGAAUGUGGCUGAUAGCACACACUCCUUGAAGAGGAAAAAUCGAUGGAGUUGGUGUCGAUCAUAAAUGUUGGACCCAAGUUACAGAAUGUUGUCCUGUGUAGAACACAUUUGCAGUGUUGUGCUUCAAGUCUCUUUAUGCAGUGUCCGUGAGAAGUUGUCGUGGCUGUUGCUGUCGUUAAGGGAUGGUGAAGUCCGCCCGCCUCCCCCUCCAAUGACAAAAUUCUAUUGUCAACUCGCUCCACUUACACGCUUCAAACUGUUUAAGGAAUCCAUCUUUUCUUCAACCAAAAUGCUAGCACCAUCCUGUAAAUUAGCAGAAAACAUCGAUAACAGACUCAGUUUAUUUGAGAUGAAGACGAUGUUAUCUGUGCGGCAGGUGAAAAAAAACGAACACGUAUUACCUGAAAUUACUCCUUGUGGGGUUUCUGAAGAAGGAGAUGAUGAUGCAUGUCUAGAAGAUUAUCAUAUAAAGAGGAUGCUAAUGUUGGCAGAUGGAGAAAUAUACAAAGUACACGUAGAAUGGACAUCAUUAUCUUCAAAUGUCAUAUAAUUUUUUUAAAUAUUAUAUCUUAUUUUUUUAAUUUUAUAUUUAUCAAAAUUUAUACAAAAACAAGUUUUAUAUAAUUAGAUGUUGAAAAAAAAUAAAGGUCACAAAUGAGUAAGUUAAGUUAAAA